rnacentral:rRNA from 1 species
AUCAAAAACAUACCCUUAGGUUAUAUCUAAGGUCAAGCCUGCCCAAUGUUAUAAAUGAAUGGCCGCAGUACCCUGACUGUGCGAAGGUAGCGUAAUCAGUUGGCUUUUAAAUGGAGUCUUGUAUGAAAGGAUUAACGUGGUAAAGCUGUCUCUAUCUUAUUCUAUCAAACUUGCUAAGAAGGUGAAAAUUCCUUCAAAAAGAAAAAAGACGAGAAGACCCUUAGAGUUUUAAUUAGAUUUGCCAUUUUGGUGAUAAAAUUUUUGUUGGGGCGACAAGGGAACAAAUAACUUCCCUAAUUAGAAUUAACUGGACGGUUUUUUCAAGUAAGAAUAAACUACCUGAGGGAUAACAGCAUAAUUCUUUUUGAGUUUGUGACCUCGAUGUUGGACUAGGAACUUAAUAGACUAGCCGUCUAUAUUUGUGGUUCUGUUCGAACUAUUUUUCCUACAUGAUCUGAG